rnacentral:lncRNA from 1 species
GCCCUCCCAGCCACCGUGGGAUCCCGGCUACUGUGACUGAGCCCAGUCAUGACUCCAGAGUGCUUCACAUCACAUCAUUCUUUCUCAGCAUCCAAAAUAUGAAGGAACUGAACCUCAGAGAGAAGAGAUAACCCUGGUCGGCCAGUAAACUGUAGAGAUCCAAUUUGAAUUCUCCCCUCUGUCUGGCUCCGACACAUGGGGUUUUCUUAACUCACACUGUGUCACCUGCAGAGUGUUUCCCUUCGG